rnacentral:lncRNA from 1 species
UCAAAUUGAAAGUUGUAAUACUCGUAAAUCGAAUUUAAAAUGACUUUGUUCUCGAUUGGCACAGAUAACUUCAGAGUCCAUUGGAUAGGAUGAAAAAGAAGAAUAACGUGCACAGAUAGUUCUUAAAACUUUAAAACGCAUCAUCUUUCUUAUAGUCGCUCUGGUUUCUUUCCUGUUCUUUCAAACCAAUUACCACAUUUGACGACUGAGUCGAGUCUAAGAGAAGCGCGCAAUUGAAGUCACAUUUAUUUUCCACCUUUUCCUCAAGAAUGUCACAAGGUCAAUAUUAGCUUCUUUUACUCACUAAUUUCCUCAUUCCAAAUAGCGCGAAGAGGACUAGCGAAAUAAAAAGAAACUCCCUCGCUCUCCAAUGGUCAAUAGUUAGUAGGCUCAGCUGCUUUCGAUCAUCCAUUUACGAAGAAAAGCUGACUAGUACAUUUCUGGCUUUAGAGCAAAGUCCAACAUUGGUUCACCCUCGAACUUUCAGGUUGUUUCACCUUUCUAACAUAAAAGUCUGCCAGGGGCUUUUCAUUUGGACAGAAAUACACAACUUCAAACUCCUUCACCAUAUCUGUGAGGAAAACACAGAAAACUGAAUAUUAGUAACACAGGGAUGGAAGGAAGAAUAUGGAUCCAAUAAGAGAAUUAAUCAGCCUACCGUUUCAAAUAACCAUUGGAAUACGUCUAAUUACCACUCACCCAAAAUAACUUGCAUAUGAAAGGAG